rnacentral:rRNA from 1 species
UUUUUUGAGAGUUUGAUCCUGGCUCAGGAUGAACGCUGGCGGCGUGCCUUAGGCAUGCAAGUGGAACGGUCCGGUGAUUCCGCAAGGGGCUAUCGGACAGUCGCAGACGGGUGAGUAAUACAUAGGAAUCUACCCUUUGGUGGGGAAUAACUAGUCGAAAGACUGGCUAAUACCGCAUAACAUCUCCGGAUAAAAGGCCGUAACUGGCCGCCGAUGGAGGAGCCUAUGUCCUAUCAGCUAGUUGGUGGGGUAAGAGCCUACCAAGGCGAUGACGGGUAGCCGGACUGAGAGGUCGGCCGGUCACAAUAGCACUUAGAUACGGGCUAUACAUCUACGGAUGGCAGCAACCGGGAAUAUUGCGCAAUGGGCGAAAGCCUGACGCAGCGACGCCGCGUGGAGGAUGAAGGCCUUCGGGUUGUAAACUCCUUUUGCCCCGCCACAUGGCGGGGAGAAUAAGCACCCACAAACUACGUGCCAGCAGUUGCGGUAAUACGUAGGGUGCAAGCGUUAUCCGGAUUUACUGGGCGUAAAGAGUUCGUAGGCGCUUCGUCGCAUUUCGCUUGAAAGACCAAGGCCCAACCUUGGGAACGGGUGAAAGAUGGACGAGGUAUGAGUCUGCUAGGGGGUACUGGAACUGUCGGUGUAGCAGUGAAAUGCGUUGAUAUCGACAGGAACACCAAGGGCGAAGGCAGGUACCUGGGGCAGCACUGACGCUGAGGAACGAAAGCUAGGGGAGCGAAAGGGAUUAGAGACCCCUGUAGUCCUAGCUGUAAACUAUGCCCGCUUGAUCCUUGAAUAUCCCCGACUUUGUCGGGGUUGGGGGUCGGAGCUAACGCAUGAAGCGGGCCGCCUGGGGAGUACGGUCGCAAGACUAAAACUCAAAGGAAUUGACGGGAGAGCGCACAACCAGGGGAGCAUGUGGUUCAAUUCGACACGAAGCGAAGGACCUUACCCAGGCUUGACAUCCCGCCGUUUAGUCCUAUGGAAACAUGGGAUGAUCUAUGAAAAUGGAUGGCGGGACAGGUGUUGCAUGGCUGUCGUCAGCUCGUGCCGUGGGGUGUCCACUUAAGUGUGGAAACGAGCGCAACCCCUAUUCUGUGUUAAAUUUUCACAGGAGACUGCCCCGCCGUUGGUGGGGAGGAAGGAGGGGAUGAUGUCAAGUCAGCACGACCCUUAUGCCUGGGGCCACACACAUCCUACAAUGGGGUGGAACAAUGGGUUGCCAAGCCGCAAGGCGGAGCUAAUCCCAGCAAAACACCCCUCAGUUCAGAUUGGGGGCUGUAACUCGCCCCCAUGAAGCCGGACUUGGUAGUAAUCGCGGAUCAGCAGGCCGCGGUGAAUACGUUCUCGCUCUUUGUACACACCGCCCAUCAAGCCAGCAAAGUCGGUAGUGCCUGACGUCCCGCCUAUGGCGGGAAGAGGGUAAGAUCGGCGAUGAGGGCUAAGUUGUAACAAGGUAUCCCUAGCCGAAGCUGGGGAUGGAUCACCUCCUUU